CAGAGGGGGCAAGCGUUAUUCGGAAUUAUUGGGCGUAAAGGGCGCGUAGGCGGCUUUCAAGUGACGGGUGAAAUCCCUCGGCUUAACCGAGGAACUGCCUGUCAGACUGGAAGGCUUGAGACCGGGAGAGGUGAGUGGAAUUCCCAGUGUAGCGGUGAAAUGCGUAGAUAUUGGGAGGAACACCAGUGGCGAAGGCGGCUCACUGGACCGGAACUGACGCUGAGGCGCGAAAGCGUGGGGAGCAAACAGGAUUAGAUACCCUGGUAGUCCACGCCGUAAACGAUGAGUGCUUGGUGUAGCGGGUAUCGACCCCUGCUGUGCCGAAGUCAACACAUUAAGCACUCCGCCUGGGGAGUACGGUCGCAAGACUG
rnacentral:rRNA from 1 species